rnacentral:rRNA from 1 species
AUUGAACGCUGGCGGCAAGCCUAACACAUGCAAGUCGAACGAGUGGCGGACGGGUGAGUAAUGUCUGGGAAAAUGCCUGAUGGAGGGGGAUAACUACUGGAAACGGUAGCUAAUACCGCAUACCAUCGGAUGUGCCCAGAUGGGCGUAGCUAGUAGGUGGGGUACAGGAUCACCUAGGCGACGCUCCCUAGCUGGUCUGAGAGGAUGACCAGCCACACGGGAACUGAGAAACGGUCCAGACACCUACGGGAGGCAGCAGUGGGGAAUAUUGCACAAUGGGCGCAAGCCUGAUGCAGCCAUGCCGCGUGUAUGAAGAAGGCCUUCGGGUUGUAAAGUACUUUCAGCGGGGAGGCGUUACCCGCAGAAGAAGCACCGGCUAACUCCGUGCCAGCAGCCGCGGUAAUUC